rnacentral:rRNA from 1 species
UACGUAGGGCGCGAGCGUUGUCCGGAAUUAUUGGGCGUAAAGAGCUCGUAGGCGGCCGGUUGAGUCUGAUGUGAAAUCCCGGGGCUUAACCCCGGGCGUGCAGUGGAUACGGGCCGGCUGGAGGCAGGCAGGGGAGAAUGGAAUUCCCGGUGUAGCGGUGAAAUGCGCAGAUAUCGGGAGGAACACCGGUGGCGAAGGCGGUUCUCUGGGCCUGUACUGACGCUGAGGAGCGAAAGCGUGGGGAGCGAACAGG